UGUUGGUGGGUAUGGCCUACAAGGCUACGAUGGGUAGCUGGUCUGAGAGGAUGAUCAGCCACACUGGAACUGGAACACGGUCCAGACUCCUACGGGAGGCAGCAGUGAGGAAUAUUGCGCAAUGGGGGAAACCCUGACGCAGCGACGCCGCGUGGGUGAAGAAGGCCUUCGGGUCGUAAAGCCCUGUCUAGAGGGAAGAAAUUCUCAAUGGAAUAAUACCUGUUGAGAUUGACGGUACCUCUGGAGGAAGCACCGGCUAACUCCGUGCCAGCAGCCGCGGUAAUACGGAGGGUGCGAGCGUUGUUCGGAAUUACUGGGCGUAAAGCGGGUGUAGGCGGUUUGUUAAGUCAGAUGUGAAAGCCCACGGCUCAACCGUGGAAGUGCAUCUGAAACUGGCAGACUUGAGUACCGGAGAGGGAAGUGGAAUUCCUGGUGUAGGGGUGAAAUCCGUAGAUAUCAGGAGGAACACCGGUGGCGAAGGCGACUUCCUGGACGGAUACUGACAAAGAGAUCCGAAA
rnacentral:rRNA from 1 species